rnacentral:rRNA from 1 species
UACGAAGGGGGCUAGCGUUGCUCGGAAUCACUGGGCGUAAAGCGCACGUAGGCGGAUCCUUAAGUCGGGGGUGAAAUCCUGGAGCUCAACUCCAGAACUGCCUUCGAUACUGAGGAUCUCGAGUCCGGGAGAGGUGAGUGGAACUGCGAGUGUAGAGGUGAAAUUCGUAGAUAUUCGCAAGAACACCAGUGGCGAAGGCGGCUCACUGGCCCGGUACCGACGCUGAGGUGCGAAAGCGUGGGGAGCAAACAGG